UCAGAACGAACGCUGGCGGCGUGCCUAACACAUGCAAGUCGAACGGACUUGAGGGGCUUGCUCUUCAAGUUAGUGGCGCACGGGUGAGUAACGCGUAGAUAAUCUGCCUAAUGAUCUGGGAUAACAUCUCGAAAGGGGUGCUAAUACCGGAUAAGCCCACGACGGCCUUGGUCGUUGCGGGAAAAGGGGGGGACCUUUUGGCCUUCUGUCAUCAGAUGAGUCUGCGUACCAUUAGCUAGUUGGUGGUGUAAUGGACCACCAAGGCUACGAUGGUUAGCUGGUCUGAGAGGAUGAUCAGCCACACU
rnacentral:rRNA from 1 species